CAGCAUUUGAAGAGUGUAUCAUGAAUCCCAGUAUGAAGCAGAAACAAGAAGAAAUCCAAGAAAAUGUAAAGAAUAAGCCUGCGCCAAGAAGAACUCUGAAGAUGAUUCAGCCUUCUGCAGCUGGAUCUCUUGUUGGAAGAGAAAAUGAGUUUCCUCAAGGCUUAUCCAAAAGGAAACAUUCAAAUGACCAGUUAACACCUAAGACUUCAAGCUCUGGAGCAGUUAUUGACCCAGAAUCUGAUGAAAAUAAGAAUCAUGGAGGAGUCACCCAAGAAGCAUUUGAUCUUAUGAUUAAAGAAAAUCCAUCUUCUCAAUAUUGGAAAGAAGUGGCAGAAAAACGAAGGAAAGCUCUCUAUGAAGCCCUUAAGGAAAAUGAGAAACUUCAUAAAGAAAUUGAACAAAAAGACAAUGAAAUUGCCCAUCUGAGAAAGGAGAAUAAAGAAUUGGCAGAAGUAGCAGAACAUGUACAGUAUAUGGCAGAGGUGAUCGAGAGACUGUCUCGUGAACCUCUGCAUAGCUCUGAAUCAUCUGACAGCCAGGAAUUUGAUUUUGGAGAGGAAAUUGCUGAGGAUUCUGAAGUGGAAGACUCAGAGAGUGCCGCAUGUGAAGAAACCGUUUCUUCUUCUACAGAUGCAGAGCCAAGUACAUGAAGUUCAUGAGUAUUUGACUCAAGAAAUACACUGCCAAUGCUUAUUACCUCCAUUUCAGUUCUGUGUAGCAGUGCAAAUAACUACAUAACGGAAAUGCUGGAAUCACGUUUCUUUGACUACUGGGACCUGAAUAUUGUAUUCAAAUACUAUAUAUUUUUAAUCUGUGUUUUAUGUAAAUAAUAGUUUUACUCAGUUGUCAGGUAUGACUUACGUAUAUGGUACGAUAAAUAAA